UGAACAAAUAUUUCUGAUGCAGAGAAUUCACUUGUCAACUUGGAGGAGCCCCGAGAGGAAAUUUCCAAAGCAGAUCUGUCGGAGAUAAUGACACCGCACAAGGAAGCCCUCCUUAGGAGGAAUGUCUUCAGAAGACGUGGAGUGUUUGAAAACACGAUGCUUCUGUGUGUUCCUGUUGAUGAGUUAAAAUUCAAGCAGCCGUGGCUGAAUUUUUAAUCUGUGAGCUGUAACAGGUGAAGCUCAAGGAGGCGACAUUCAGGACUUCAUUUGCUCCCACCUUGCAGACAGACUUAAAUGUUAAGCUUGUUUUCCUACCAGAUGGAGAAUAGAUGCCCCUAUUUCAGCAGAAGCAUCAGUCAACAGAGGGUUUGGUUCUUUUCAGAGGCUGAAUCUUUGGAAAAAUAUACUGAGGAUGGUGCAUAAAAGUGGGGGAUGUGACAGGUACGUGCUGGAGGUGAAUGCUGAGAGUUUGGAAAUGCAAACAGACUUCAGGAUUUGCCAGUCCUCUUCCUCCCCCAACACCCAGAAUAUUGCAUUUGUUGGUUGGUCUUCAUUUUUAAAUCAUCCAGUGCUCUGCUGUCAAGACACAUGUGUUGUUUUCAUAGAGUUGGCACCAGAAGUUAUUAUUUUUUUCCAGCUCAAUUUAGAGAAGGGUAACAAAUAUUCUGGGUUUGCUCUGAAAUCAUUACGGGAGGAGC